rnacentral:lncRNA from 1 species
CAAGCUCCUUUUGUCUGGGCAUCCCCCUCCCCCUCCCCAGAAGUGGGGGCCGAGUUGCCCACUCCCCUUCCUAGCAGCGGGUUAUUUCCAGCACGGAGCAGCUGCCCAAGUUACCUGGGAGAUGGGAAAAUCGUGUGAAAGCUGGUUAACCCUUUGAGGAUUAGAGUAAUGGUGGAAGCAGAAAGGAGAAGGAGUUUCACUCCAGGAUGUACGUAGGACCAGCCCUCCCUGCAGUCCUGUCCUUCAAGACUCAAGUCUUGUCCACUCCAAAUCACCACUGGGAUUCCUAAGUCCAGGACAGAGCUUCAGGCAAGGAAAAGAAGAGUUGGGAAAGCCAGUUUCCAACAUUUAUCAGCCACGUGUACCUGCAAACUAUAUACCUUGGGUAAAUCAUCAAUCUCUUGAAAUGGGAAUAAAACCAUCUGCCUUGUCUUUCUUA